rnacentral:rRNA from 1 species
UACGGGGGGGAGCAAGCGUUUGUUCGGAUUUACUGGGCGUAAAGGGCGCGUAGGCGGUCGUGACAAGUCACUUGUGAAAUCUCCGGGCUUAACUCGGAACGGUCAAGUGAUACUGUCGGACUAGAGUACAGAAGGGGCAACUGGAAUUCUCGGUGUAGCGGUGAAAUGCGUAGAUAUUGGGGAGGAACACCAGAUGCGAAGGCGGGUCACUGGGCUGAUACUGACGCUGAAGCGCGAAAGCCAGGGGAGCGAACAGG